UACGUAGGGUGCAAGCGUUAAUCGGAAUUACUGGGCGUAAAGCGCACGUAGGCGGACCAUCAAGUUGGGGGUGAAAUCCCGGGGCUCAACCUCGGAACUGCCUUUGAUACAGCAAGUCUUGAGUUCGAGAGAGGUGGGUGGAAUUCCUAGUGUAGAGGUGAAAUUCGUAGAUAUUAGGAAGAACACCGGUGGCGAAGGCGGCCCACUGGCUCGAUACUGACGCUGAGGUGCGAAAGCGUGGGGAGCAAACAGGG
rnacentral:rRNA from 1 species